AUCACACGCUCAUGGGGCGGCGCAUUCUCACAGCCGCCAUACCAGCAGCGGGUCAAGAAGCACCGGGUUGAAGCCAACGCCGUGUCUCCCAGUGGCAUUCCUCCUGUCGGUGCUGGUGCUUUCCUCCAUGUAUCCUACGCGUGCCCUGAGGAGCGCUCACAGCACAGAAGGGCAGCAUUGCGGUAGCAGCAGUUGUGGCUGUGUCCCAGAGCACUGUUGAGGGUCUCGGGGCAGGUGCUGGCUUGCAGGCUGCUGCUCUGCACACCCGUAAUCAAACGCCAUCAGAGGAGGGUGUUGCAGCAGUUAUCACCAAGUCCAGGACUGCGCAAUCUUGAUAACGGCGGUGUCCUCAAGUUGGGUUCAGUGGCUGAAGAGCUGAAGGCAGCGCAGACUCUAAGGGCCCUUCGCCUCUGCCAACCCCAUAGACCAGAACCCAAGAGCUGCAGCACAAGGCUCUGCGUACCCAAUGAACCAAAACCAGGUGGGUGAAGCCUUCCUUUCUGCUCCCACAGGACUUUGGCAAGGAAAGAAGAGAAGGACAAAUUUCAGUUGCAGAUUAGUGGGAAUCUCUUCAUCAAGCAGUUCUUGCAUUUGCUUACUAGGCUGAAGCCAGCUGAAAACAUCACAGAGCAAUACAUGGAAAAGGUGCUGCACGCAGUAUUCUUCUUUGGAAGGCUGAAUCGGAGGCAGAUGACACCCAACGACUUCCUAGAGCCCAGCUUUUCCCAGAGGCUGCAGCAGAAAUACCCCCAGUCAUUCCAGCAGUACAGCACCCACCUGCCCAGCCUGACACCGUACUCCAUCCUGCUGCAGUCUUUUACAAAGAACCCCAGAAAGAAGCAGGCUUCCCUCUCUUUUACGGAGCAUCUCUUUCCUGCAAAGGGCUGACGGAGAAGAAGAUCAUGAUUAGCAUCCUGUGCCUAAGGAUGUGGCACAAGGCGGUGGCAUUUGCAGUGUACCACGGGCAGGACAAUCAGGCCAUUGUCUUCCCUGAUGAAGUGAAGUGCCGAGCCUUCUGCUACAGCAAUGGAGCCUUCACAGAAAAGCCACCCUGCGUGAACUGCAAGAUGAUGUAUCACGUGGCCUUCCAGCCAUUUGAGGGUGACAACAGGGAAAACAUCAAAUGGCCGCAUGGAAACUGUGCUGAGAAUGAGUGCCUGAGCAAGCUGCUGCAGGGCGUGCCAGGGCUGCAGGAGAGGGUCGUCUCGACAGACACUUCCGUGAUACACAAUCCCCCACAGAACACCUACCAGGCCAUUGAGCAAGAGUUUGCAAACAGCAUAGAAGCAAAUCUUACAAAUCAGCUUAUCAUGCUGCUUCAGACAAAAAAUUUUCCUCAUCUUCUGCAGUUCUUUGAACCAUAGUGAGCACUGGAGAGGCAGCUGCAGUGCUGUGCAUCAGCACAACACCCCCAAGCCCGUCUUCCUGCAUACUCCCAUGGGUCAUCCCACUGAGCUAGGGAUGGUGCAGGGCACAUGGGGUCAGAGCAGCUGGGACCACUCCUGCCCCAGAAGGUACCAGCACAGGAGGGCGGAGGGCCCUCUCACUCCACCUUUAUGCUACCUCCAAACCCAGCUCCGUGCUCAUGCUAGCAGGUUCUGCUCAGCUGGGGUGAGGAUGCAGCCUGACUCCAUAUCCUGCAAGCAGCACAUUGAUGGGAUAUCCAUUUGCCCCUUGCUAGACUCCAGCAUGCAGGGCUCUGCUUUUCACCUGUGUAAAUAAACAUGUCUGAUUU
rnacentral:lncRNA from 7 species